rnacentral:rRNA from 1 species
UACGGGGGGUGCAAGCGUUGCUCGGAAUUACUGGGCGUAAAGCGCACGCAGGCGGCACGUCAGGUCGGGUGUGAAAGCCCAGGGCUCAACCCUGGAACUGCACUCGAAACCGGCGAGCUAGAGUUCGAGAGAGGGUGGUGGAAUUCCUGGUGUAGAGGUGAAAUUCGUUGAUAUCAGGAGGAACACCGGCGGCGAAGGCGGCCACCUGGCUCGAUACUGACGCUCAUGUGCGAAAGCGUGGGGAGCAAACAGG